rnacentral:rRNA from 1 species
ACUCCUACGGGAGGCAGCAGUGGGGAAUUUUGCGCAAUGGGGAAACCCUGACGCAGCAACGCCGCGUGAGUGAUGAAGGCCCUUGGGUCGUAAAGCUCUGACAGAGGGAAAGAAGUGUAGAGUGGCUAAUAUCCACAUUACUUGACGGUACCCUCAAAGGAAGCACCGGCUAACUCCGUGCCAGCAGCCGCGGUAAUACGGGGGGUGCAAGCGUUGUUCGGAUUUAUUGGGCGUAAAGCGCGUGUAGGCGGUUUUAUAAGUCUGAUGUGAAAGCCCUGGGCUCAACCCGGGAAGUGCAUUGGAUACUGUAAGACUUGAAUACGGGAGAGGGCAGUGGAAUUCCUAGUGUAGGAGUGAAAUCCGUAGAUAUUAGGAGGAACACCGGUGGCGAAGGCGGCUGCCUGGACCGAUAUUGACGCUGAGACGCGAAAGCGUGGGUAGCAAACAGGAUUAGAUACCCUGGUAGUCCACGCCGUAAACGAUGAGAACUAGGUGUCGCGGGUA